GGCAGAAAAAUGUCAGUGUCUUAUGUCUACGCUGGAUAGAAGAAGAAUUAAGAGACUUAUUGAUUCGAGGAAGAUUUAGACCAGUCACUGAGGAGGAACUAGCAGGAAGAGAUUUUCAAGGCAGGUCCUUGGGCUGUGUGUGGCAAUUGGGCACGUACCUGUUGGAAAUGCUUCAGGCAGAGAGCAACCUGUCUGUAGAGCCCCGGUACAGCAGGGUGCUGGCCUGAAACCAAUGUUCUGUGGGACUGGAGCCAGAAACAGGAUCAGGGUUGCAGGAAGAACCCUGAAAAGAAAGGCUCUUCUUUCAGAAAGUGGAGCUCCAUGAGCUGUCGGCAUCCCAGGGGCAGAGCAGAGGCAGAUUUUGGCUGUGAAGUUGACCCAGCCAAUGCCACGCAGGACAAGGUGGCAUUGAGAAGGUCCACAGCAGCAGCAUGUGUGCUGGAGGGGAACCACAAGCCGUGAAGGAUAGGGCAAAAGUGCCCGCUUCAUAAAUACACAUAAACAAACAAAACAGCUCACCAGCAGACAACGUAUGACACCUGUCAGUUGACUUCAAUGACUGCUCACCACUUCUUCGUGUUCUGCACCUCCCACAAGUCAGCUCCACAGAUGUGUCAGGAACGCUUCCUGAUGACUGCAUUGUAACAAAUGUGCAGGUGAGGUCACCUCUGUAAGGCGUAAGUCUCCUGGAUUUGCAGGAAGUUGUACAGAAUGGUCCAAUAGGUCAUCUUCAUCUCUGGCUUAUGUGGUAAUAAAGGAAU
rnacentral:lncRNA from 7 species